AGGGAUGUAAUGUAGCUUAGUAACGCAUUGGUUUUAGGUACCAAAUGUCAAGGGUUCAUAGCCUGUCAUCCCUA
rnacentral:tRNA from 2 species